AUUGAACGCUAGCGGGAUGCUUUACACAUGCAAGUCGAACGGCAGCGCGGACUUCGGUCUGGCGGCGAGUGGCGAACGGGUGAGUAAUGUAUCGGAACGUGCCCAGUAGCGGGGGAUAACUACGCGAAAGCGUAGCUAAUACCGCAUACGCCCUACGGGGGAAAGCAGGUGAUCGUAAGACCUUGCACUAUUGGAGCGGCCGAUAUCGGAUUAGCUAGUUGGUGAGGUAACGGCUCACCAAGGCGACGAUCCGUAGCUGGUUUGAGAGGACGACCAGCCACACUGGGACUGAGACACGGCCCAGACUCCUACGGGAGGCAGCAGUGGGGAAUUUUGGACAAUGGGGGCAACCCUGAUCCAGCCAUCCCGCGUGUGCGAUGAAGGCCUUCGGGUUGUAAAGCACUUUUGGCAGGAAAGAAACGUCGCGGGCUAAUACCCCGUGGAACUGACGGUACCUGCAGAAUAAGCACCGGCUAACUACGUG
rnacentral:rRNA from 1 species